rnacentral:rRNA from 1 species
AGUAAAGUGGCGUACGGGUGAGUAACACGUGGAUCAUCUACCUUUUAGUGGGGAAUACCUCUUGGAAACGGGAGACAAUACCGCAUAAGCUCGAAAGAGGAAAGCAGCAAUGCGCUGAAAGAGGAGUCCGCGGCCGAUUAGCUAGUUGGCGGGGUAACGGCCCACCAAGGCGAAGAUCGGUAGCCGGCCUGAGAGGGCUCACGGCCACACUGGCACUGAAACACGGGCCAG